rnacentral:rRNA from 1 species
GAUGAACGCUGGCGGCGUGCCUAAUACAUGCAAGUCGAGCGAACAGACGAGGAGCUUGCUCCUCUGACGUUAGCGGCGGACGGGUGAGUAACACGUGGAUAACCUACCUAUAAGACUGGGAUAACUGCGGGAAACCGGAGCUAAUACCGGAUAAUAUAUUGAACCGCAUGGUUCAAUAGUGAAAGACGGUUUUGCUGUCACUUAUAGAUGGAUCCGCGCCGCAUUAGCUAGUUGGUAAGGUAACGGCUUACCAAGGCGACGAUGCGUAGCCGACCUGAGAGGGUGAUCGGCCACACUGGAGCUGAGACACGGUCCAGACUCCUACGGGAGGCAGCAGUAGGGAAUCUUCCGCAAUGGGCGAAAGCCUGACGGAGUAACGCCGCGUGAGUGAUGAAGGUCUUCGGAUCGUAAAACUCUGUUAUUAGGGAAGAACAAAUGUGUAAGUAACUAUGCACGUCUUGACGGUACCUAAUCAGAAAGCCACGGCUAACUACGUG